rnacentral:lncRNA from 1 species
GUGGAUGAAGUGGGAGGUUAUUCUCACUAAUGAUUUGGGAAACAAAAACAGCAGCUACCCAAGGAUUGGAUGAAAGAUGCUUUUCAUUUUUGUGUAAGUUCCAUUGCUGAUGUAACAGCUUCCUUUUUGGUCAACAGGAAAGGACUAGUAGAGCUGUGAUCAGCAUAGCUUACCAACUAUAACACUAGGGUUACUUAAAGGGGAAUAUACACUCACCAACAGGUUACGUUCUUACUUGUAAUACUUCCUAGCAACAAUAAUAGAAGCUCAGCAGGAAAAAAAAGUUUAGCUUAAUGACAACCAUCUUUGGCAGAAUCUUGGGAGCCAAAUUGGGUCUGAACCUCUGUGAAUGGAAAGCUGAACAUAAGAGCAAGUAAUUACUGAUACGUCCUGUGGAACAGCACAGAGGGACACAUGAAGGAGAUUCAGGCACAGGAGGAAAAAAAAAAGGAAGAAGCUCAGGAGAAGCAGGCUACCACCAGUAGCUGAAUGGGUGGAUCUCCGAAGAGGCCUGAGUCGCUUCAAUGGCUUUUCAGUACAGAUAAGUUACAGUUUUUUCUGCUCUGGCGCAUCCUCUGAAGGCUGAGAUGAAAGACAUGAUUCACUAGACUAAGACAUAUCCUGAAUCAAGAUGCCAGCCCCUCCUGCACCCCACGCUCCAGAGGCUGGUCUGCUGAAUGAUGGCUGUAUCUGCCCCGAGGACACUGUGAGCCCCACUCCCAGGGUGAGAGGAGAAUGAUGGCAAAAGAAUUUGGUAUAUCCUUGCUCCCACCUUCCUGUUCUUGAAAGCACAGGACAUCUGUGGGAGAAAUAUCUCUGGAAGCCUUGAUGGAGAGUACCAACCAGUCUUCAUGUGAAGACACUCUGCGUUCCUCAGCACUUACCCGUGAUCUGCAUCCUUGACUAAUCAUCUCCUUGCGGAGAUGCCAGUGGAAGUGAUUGAGACAAAGGGGCGUAGCAUCAUCUUGAUGCUGAAGAGCUUUCAGAGGAGGAGGGACAGGAUAUAUUAUGGAGCUAAAUUCUCACGGGCAAAUAAUAAGUCCUAGCACCUGCUGGCUGGAACCCACAGGCUGUGACCUUCUGUCUCCACCAAUGUUUGUAUUUUCCUCUGCGGGAAAGAGCAACAUGGUAAAGAAUUCCUAUUAUUUCAAAUAUUUCACCAUGGUGUUAUCUA